CCAUGCCGCGUGCAGGAAGACGGCCCUAUGGGUUGUAAACUGCUUUUAUACGGGAAGAAAAACAGCUACGUGUAGUUGACUGACGGUACCGUAAGAAUAAGGACCGGCUAACUCCGUGCCAGCAGCCGCGGUAAUACGGAGGGUCCGAGCGUUAUCCGGAAUUAUUGGGUUUAAAGGGUCCGUAGGCGGGCCAUUAAGUCAGGGGUGAAAGUCUGCGGCUCAACCGUAGAAUUGCCUUUGAUACUGGUGGUCUUGAGUUAUGGUGAAGUGGCUGGAAUAUGUAGUGUAGCGGUGAAAUGCAUAGAUAUUACAUAGAACACCGAUUGCGAAGGCAGGUCACUAACCAUAUACUGACGCUGAUGGACGAAAGCGUGGGGAGCGAACAGGAUUAGAUACCCUGGUAGUCCACGCCGUAAACGAUGGAUACUAGCUGUCCGGGUCCUUGAGACCUGGGCGGCCAAGCGAAAGUGAUAAGUAUCCCACCUGGGGAGUACGUUCGCAAGAAUGAAACUCAAAGGAAUUGACGGGGGCCCGCACAAGCGGUGGAGCAUGUGGUUUAAUUCGAUGAUACGCGAGGAACCUUACCAGGGCUUAAAUGCAUAUUGACAGGGGUAGAGAUACCUUUUCCUUCGGGCAAUUUGCAAGGUGCUGCAUGGUUGUCGUCAGCUCGUGCCGUGAGGUGUCAGGUUAAGUCCUAUAACGAGCGCAACCCCUACCGUUAGUUGCCAGCGAGUCAUGUCGGGGACUCUAACGGGACUGCCGGUGCAAACCGUGAGGAAGGUGGGGAUGACGUCAAAUCAUCACGGCCCUUACGUCCUGGGCCACACACGUGCUACAAUGGCCGGUACAGAGAGCAGCCAUCUGGCAACAGAGAGCGAAUCUACAAAACCGGUCACAGUUCGGAUCGGGGUCUGCAACUCGACCCCGUGAAGCUGGAAUCGCUAGUAAUCGGAUNUCAGCCAUGAUCCGGUGAAUACGUUCC
rnacentral:rRNA from 1 species